GACGAACGCUGGCGGCGUGCUUAACACAUGCAAGUCGAACGGGAACCUUUAUUUCGGUAAAGGUGAGAGUGGCAAACGGGUGAGUAACACGUAGGCAACCUGCCGACAGGAUGGGGACAACAUUCCGAAAGGAAUGCUAAUACCGAAUGGAGUCCGGGGAUGGCAUCAUCCUCGGAUCAAAGAUGGCCUCUGAAUAUGCUAUCGCCUGUCGAUGGGCCUGCGUCUGAUUAGCCAGUUGGCGGGGUAACGGCCCACCAAAGCGACGAUCAGUAGCCGGUCUGAGAGGAUGAACGGCCACAUUGGGACUGAGACACGGCCCAGACUCCUACGGGAGGCAGCAGUGGGGAAUCUUCCACAAUGGGCGAAAGCCUGAUGGAGCAACGCCGCGUGAGUGAAGAAGGUCUUCGGAUCGUAAAGCUCUGUUGCACGGGACGAAAACCGGGUUUGAGAAUAUUGAGUUUGGGUGACGGUACCGAGCGAGGAAGCCACGGCUAACUACGUGCCAGCAGCCGCGGUAAUACGUAGGUGGCGAGCGUUGUCCGGAAUUAUUGGGCGUAAAGGGAGCGCAGGCGGACAUAUAAGUCCAUCUUAAAAGUGCGGGGCUCAACCCCGUGAGGGGAUGGAAACUGUAUGCCUUGAGUGCAGGAGAGGAAAGCGGAAUUCCCAGUGUAGCGGUGAAAUGCGUAGAUAUUGGGAGGAACACCAGUGGCGAAGGCGGCUUUCUGGACUGCAACUGACGCUGAGGCUCGAAAGCCAGGGGAGCGAACGGG
rnacentral:rRNA from 1 species